AUUGAACGCUGGCGGCAGGCUUAACACAUGCAAGUCGAGCGGGGUGAUGGUGCUUGCACUAUCACUUAGCGGCGGACGGGUGAGUAAUGCUUAGGAAUCUGCCUAUUAGUGGGGGACAACAUCUCGAAAGGGAUGCUAAUACCGCAUACGUCCUACGGGAGAAAGCAGGGGAUCACUUGUGACCUUGCGCUAAUAGAUGAGCCUAAGUCGGAUUAGCUAGUUGGUGGGGUAAAGGCCUACCAAGGCGACGAUCUGUAGCGGGUCUGAGAGGAUGAUCCGCCACACUGGGACUGAGACACGGCCCAGACUCCUACGGGAGGCAGCAGUGGGGAAUAUUGGACAAUGGGGGGAGCCCUGAUCCAGCCAUGCCGCGUGUGUGAAGAAGGCCUUAUGGUUGUAAAGCACUUUAAGCGAGGAGGAGGCUCUUUUGGUUAAUACCCAAGAUGAGUGGACGUUACUCGCAGAAUAAGCGCCGGCUAACUCUGUGCCAGCCGCCGCGGUAA
rnacentral:rRNA from 1 species